GACCACGAUAUCCGGAGUUCCCAUUCUACUCUUAUUCGCAACCAUCCACAAUAGUUUUCGAAGCUCCACCAACACAGUCUUAGCAACAAAUCGUUGCCUCCCAACAUCAGUAGAAGCUACAAGAGCAGCCGCAACCAUUACCACCUUGAAUCCGGAGAAUAUCUACACCAAGAUCAACCCGGGUGAUCUUUCAUCGAAAACAAAUUCCGAGGGUGUCAGGAUUAAACAAUAUAAAGAUGAGUUUCACCCUCUUCCUCCAUCUCUCAAUCAGAUUGUGAUUAUUAAUUGAUUGUUAAAAAAAUUUUCAAAAAACCAAAUCUGUGUUGAUUAGUUAUUCUUGUUUAAAUUUAUUGCGAGUGUAAUCUUUAAAUCACUUCAUUGAUUUUGAUACCUUUUCGAUUCAUGAUUGGACAACAUUUAGUCUCAAUUUAGUAGAGAAGAGCCGGAACAGUGAGGAAUUGAUGCUCUCACACCAAAUAUUUGUACAAAUUCCACGGAGAAGAGUUUCCCAGUGUUCAAACACUAGCUGUUUGUACAACUCUCUAUCCGCUUAACCCAUGAUCAACGGUUACUUACGUAUUUUAUCUUCCAAUCUUCCGAGCAGCUUUGUUCUUUUCGAUCACCUAAGCCGAGUGAUACUGGAAGCCGCCUCACCCUCCUCCGAUUGCAUCAAGCUACAUCAACAUUGCCUCCCUCUCAUUCUCUUGUACACAACUACGUGGCUAACACAACAAAGAUAAGUUUCUUUCUAUAUCUUAACGGGUCUAUAGCUUUGAUUUAUAAUCAAAUCCUUCAUUCGAUUUAUAAUUGAAAUUCAGAUAUGUGAUCUUCAGUUCGUUAUGAAUUUUGCAGAGUUCUUUAUGAAUUUUACCAAAUUUUUAGGGGUUUACAACUAAGAUUUGAUCAAUGUUUCGAUUCUUAAUGACAAUUAAAUCAAACGUCUAAUUUAUUAUCACUACACAUCAAUUUUGAACUUGACAUACUAUUGAUAUUUCGCAUGAUCUAUACUUACAUCCAUGACUGAAUAUUUUCCCUAGCUGAAAUGAAGCAUUCAAUGAUGAACUGCAAUAACUAAUCAAGGAAAUUUGGUUUCUAUUCCCAGAAUCGGUAACAAAGGUCUAUUGAAUGAAACUUCAACCUGCUGCCUAAUGAGGACUACCAACUGAUGUUUCAAUAAAUUGAAAUCUCAUAGAGAAGCAUCACCUGUCGUCAACACUUGUGAAAGAAUCAAGCUCAAAAAGGAGACUAAGAAUUGCCUGGAAUUGUCGUUCAGGACCACAGAUAGCACACUAAAAUCGUUAACGAAGGAUAAGAGAGGUGUCGGACGUAUAUGAAGAAACAAGAGAAGCAGCUAGAGUCUGUAAAGUUUUUGGGUCGAGUUUUGGUCCAUAAUAUCCGCAUUUACCAACAAGAUAAGUUGCUGUUACGUUCUGUGAAGAUUGUUGAUGCUGUGAUGAUGUAUUAAAAAUGACGGAGGCCUAAAUUGUGGCUGCUGAUGGUGGAGAUCAAUGAGGAUGCUUUCCCAGCGUGGCUACGAGUUGAUUUGUUAAACAUUGACUAUUGUUGCCGCUAGGAGCCUACUGCUCUUUCUUUCUUUGGACUACCAGCUGCUGGACAAGAAUUCUCCACAAAAUACAGGCAAAUUCCUACAAGUCUAAGCUCUCACUUCUUUUUGUUACAUUUUCUUUUAUAUUAUAUCACAAAAUUACAGUUGAGCUUGGCGGGAUUUCAUCCGAGCUUAUUUAAUAUCCACACAUGUUUAAAAACCUUCAUCGUAGCUCUGGUAAAGCAUUAGCAGUCUGGUAACUCCAGCUGCAGUAAGCCUUGAACUACAGAUGUUGUGAGCGGAUGUUGAUUCAUGUAUAGCUCGAUAUAAAGAACCUCAUGCAUAUAUGGUUGAUUAGCAAGGAUAAGUAUUAUUUGUCUUUUAGACUUUUCUGGU